UGUAGGCUGCAACUCGCCUACAUGAAGUCGGAAUCGCUAGUAAUCGCGGAUCAGCAUGCCGCGGUGAAUACGUUCCCGGGCCUUGUACACACCGCCCGUCACACCAUGAGAGUUUGUAACACCCAAAGCCGGUGGGGUAACCUUUUGGAGCCAGCCGUCUAAGGUGGGACAGAUGAUUGGGGUGAAGUCGUAACAAGGUAUC
rnacentral:rRNA from 1 species